CCAGAACUCCUUGGAGACUAUCACAGCCCCACGCAAGGGAGUGGAAGUUCUUGUGCCAGGAAUCCAGCCACAUUUCAGAGCAAAUGAACUGAAGAUUUGGCCCACUGUUUCUGGUAAUUGCUCCAGCAGUCAACCCAUCAGUCAGCUUCAGAAUCUGCAGGAACUCCCACAUUUGAAAAGCUCAUCGGACUCUGCAGCUGAGACCUCCCAGGCAUAUGCAUUCAUAUCUCAGAGUUAAAAUAUAAUUUGUUUUGGCUAAACAGCCUCUAAAUCUUUCCUUCCUCCAGAUGGAAGCAUUUGUGCAAUUAAGGAUUUGGCAAUGUUGGCAACUCCAUCACUUCACUGACUCUCGUGAGCCUCCAUUAGAUCUGAAGGCUUCCAACCCACCCUCCCAGAAAUAUGAAGUUUGGGGACUUGUAGGCAGCUGAGCCUACUUCCUCUGAUUCUAUAAACACUCAGACUUCAGUAUGUUUAGUAUUUUUGUUCCAGUUUUAAGGACUGUAGUUUUAUCUUGCUUUAACAUGAAUUGGUUUUGAAGUUGCAUGAGACUUCCAUCUUUUAGGUUCAAAAAACACUGAAUGGAUUUUGUUUUGAUUUUUGUUGGUCCAGAGUAUUGAGCCCUGAGUGAAUAGAGGAAAAGGAAGGGAAACAAUAAAACAGCAAUUGCCCUGUCUUUUGACCCAAAGAGUAAAAUAAGAUAGAAAGACAGUCUCAACCAAGUCUGCAAAGCUUUUCAGUCUUAUUUUUCAUCGUAAUUAACUUAUUAUUAAAGUCUCAUGAGCCUCAUGAAUUUUCUCUCACAUAAAAUGGAAAAAGGGUAAAUGAGGCUUUGAAGUUUGUGAAGGAGACAGUAUAACUGGAAAAUUGCUUUGACCCAUUUUUUUCCAUUACCCCAUAACAGCAAUCACUUUUUGGCAAGCGUUGUUACCUGUAUGUCUCUCUGUCAAGGGCAGGAAUGCAGCUGUGCACAUCCUUUCUAGUUACUUUCUUUUCGUGCCUGAGGGUUUUGUUUUGUGAGAGGAGAGCACUGAGGUGAACGUACUGCAUGUCUGACAUAAAUCAUAGUCUAUUUGACACUGUGUAUAAUAUUUGAAGUAUAAAAGCCAUUUUCAGGAAAUAAUGGCAGGUUCUGCAUCUCUAGAUAGUGAAAACAAUUAACUUCAUGCUUCAGAACUUAUCAUUAGCUGGAUCUCAUUUUAAAGGGCUAAAUAUUUUGAAUAUUUACAGAGUCUGAUUUGCAUAUCAACCAUUGACCUCAGUGUGUGCUUUGGGAAAAAAAAAUUCCAUUAUGUCAUCCUAGAGUGAAAUAAAGAGUGCAUCAAACCUUUAAUACAUUAUGUAGCAUGAGAAGUACUUUUCCUUGAUAGUUAAAAUCUCCAUGCACUGCCUGAAUGCCCGAGAGGAUUGCAUCGCUGUUAGCACACAUGGACAGCUACACCACUGUAGCUCUUGGAAAUAAACACAUCACUUGAUAGAACAAAGUGUGGCAAAAAAAUAUUUUUUCUUCCUGGCUGUACUGGAGAGUCUGUGACAUUUUACAAAAUUCCUAUCAUUAUGAUAUUCUAGUGGAUGCCCUGUCUGAGGUCCCCUCGUCACUGUAUAUCUGCAGGAAAGGCAGUGAUAAAGUGAGAUGAGAUGUGCAUCAUGUUGCUUAUGAGAAGAUCCUGCAGUUCAACCUGGUUACACAUUUUUCUGCAUGGGGGCAUCUAUAAAGGAAUAAAAUUGUUCUCUUUUAUUCUGUUUAGUGGGGGUUGCACAGCCAGAGAGACACUGCACCGUGGACCUUGUCAACACAGUCUCAGGAGAUGAUGCAGUGGGGCAGAUCAGGUCCUGGCACUUCAGAGUUCUCCCUGCUGUCAUCCUUCUAGAAUAUCUUCUGUGUUAUCAUUUGUGACUGCCUAAUUUAAAAGACUUGUCUGUAGCAUGACUAUCUUCAAAAUAAAGGAUAGUUUAUAUUUCUCCAAAUUAUAGUGCACCCAGUGCUUGAUCUCUCUUCCUUUAAUGAGGUUCACGAGUACCUUAGCAGGGCUUCCCACCAAGUUGCCUGCCUCAAUUCUGCUUUCUAGCAUCAAGGGAUUUUGUUUCGAACAGCUGCACCAAGAGAGCUUUUAAUGGUGCUCUGCUUCCCUUGCUUUACUUUUUCCUGAAUUCAUGUCAGUACUACAACUCUGUCCUUAAACUUCUGUUGCCCCCACACACAUUUCAUAAUCAGACUAUAAACCUUAUUAUUUUCUUUCCUGUCUUUUUCUUCAAUUAAUUUUAACUUGUAAGGCAAUAACAGGACUUGGGCAGUUGGAGCUCCUUCUUAAAUGUCCUUGUGUCGUACUAACUAGCUGACAUCUGUUUUGUAAUCUGUAAUUAUUUUAUUGCAUUUUAUUGUAUUUCCAAGAAGAUCAUAUUGUCACAAUCAAAUUGUGCCAUCAGAGUUUUUUCUUUUCCAGCCUCUAGAAUUGGGUACAAUUGGGUCAUGGAUGUUUUGACCAGCAAGUCCUUGGGCAACGUUCAGGGAGGAGAAAGAUUGAUUUUUGUUCUUGUGAGUCUUGGUCCUGAACCUUUGUUGCCUUAGAGACACCUUUUUCAAAAUGUCAUCCAAGCUAGAAGGGCAAAAAUGCAAACCUUGAGUUUUGUUCUGGGCUCAUUUUUGUUAUGAUGUUUGGGUUAUGCUCCUUUGAAGACUUUUUCUUUCUCAGUUCAACUCUUUGAUGUUGGUUAUUGCUCUUGGUCAGGGGUUUUGAGAGGUUCCUUCGUCUUUUAUGUGCCCUUUAAUGAUUGCAUAUAGCAUUUUUCUAUUUGGGAAGCAUAAAAUGUUCAGGUUGAUGUUGCAUUUGUUAUUCAUAGUUUGUCUAUGGAAUGGAGCUGUGAAAGCAAAAAGCUGAGAAUUAAAAAAUAAUUCUGUGUCCUUU